AUACGUAGGGGGCGAGCGUUGUCCGGAAUGAUUGGGCGUAAAGGGCGCGUAGGCGGCGCGGUAAGUCUGGAGUGAAAGUCCUGCUUUCAAGGUGGGAAUUGCUUUGGAUACUGCCGCGCUUGAGUGCAGGAGAGGGUAUCGGAAUUCCCGGUGUAGCGGGGAAAUGCGUAGAGAUCGGGAGGAACACCAGUGGCGAAGGCGACUUACUGGGCCGUAACUGACGCUGAGGCGCGAAAGCGUGGGGAGCGAACAGGAUUAGAUACCCUGGUAGUCCACGCGGUAAACGAUGAAUGCUAGGUGUUGCGGGUAUCGACCCCUGCAGUGCCGGAGUCAACACAAUAAGCAUUCCGCCUGGGGAGUACGGCCGCAAGGUUGAAACUCAAAUGAAUUGACGGGG
rnacentral:rRNA from 1 species